rnacentral:rRNA from 1 species
AUGAGGCACUUGGAUGGGUCGGUGUUCUCCGUCACCGUGGCCGGCAAGCGCAAGCGUUCGCCGGAGUACCCCUGCGUGUCGCGCUUCCGGCAGCGGCGACUCCUCUCCUUCCUCCGGCGCCAGAAGCUGUUCGACACCUACGACGCGCUUACCGGCGAGUCGGGUGCGCGCAUCGACCUGUACCAUCUGGCCGACCUCGUCAAGGCGGGCCGGUGGGACGAGGCCAUCGAGCAUCUCUCCCGCUUCCUGCCGCCCGACCCUGCUCUGGGCGUCCACGGCCGUGUCCUCCUCCACUUCCUCCGCGUGCACAAGGCCCUCCACGACAUCGUCUCCGGGGCGCCCGAGAGCCGUGCCGUCUCUGCAGCUCUCAGGAUGUGCUUCACCAAGAAUUUUGCCAUCACCAAGCUCCGCGCCAUCCUCUGGUCCCUCCUCUCCUCCAGCGGAUUCAGGGACUCCCUGGACUUUGGGCGCGUGAGAGACAAGGCUGCGUCCACUGUCGUUUACUUGGCUUAUCAAACUCCAGAGUUGAGAGAACAUGUGAAAGAGGCGCGUGGCCCAGCGGAACCUCACAAUGUACUCCCCAUCGGCUUUGGUUUCCGUCCAAGGCGCCAUGUGAAGCGAGGCCCCAUCCCGGGCUCUGUUCUUGUCAGGCACUAUCUUCGUAAGAGGAGGAUGCUUCCUUCUUCGAUAUCAAGUCACCGUGAAGGGUUAAGUUCUGAAUCGUUAAUUAAGGCAAAAGAAUGGAUGGUGGAUCUUGUUGAUACAAGUUUGGAAGCUGGUAAGCGGGAUCAAGGGUAUCCACUUCAAUAUGUUUGUACUCCAAUGGUACAAAAAGGUGCUCCUGUUGAUCCAGUCUCGCGGAAUAAUCUUGGUACAUUCAGAAGUCCAGCUAGAAAUCCUGGCAUGUCAUCAGACACCGACUUUGACAUGUUAGUUCUCAAGACAAAGGAAUGGGUGGUUUAUCUUCUAGAUCUACGGCUGGAAGCUUGGCCGGACCUUAGUCAAGGGUAUGAGCCAUUUCGACGUGUCAACAAGGAUGGUAUUCCAGUUGCCCGAGUUUCGCAGACUAUCCCUUAUACGUUGAUGGGGCCUGUUACAAUUUCAUCAGUAACAAAUGCAGAAGUUCCAUCCUUCUUCCAGGUUCUCCAUCCUUUGAAAGGUCCUGCUAGAAACUAUGGGAUCUCACCAGUGACAAAUGCAGGUGGUCUACCUUCACAGGCCAUAUCUGCUAUCUUGGCACCUCCUUAUGAUCAGUUCUUGAUUUCAAUAGAGAAAGAUGCAGGUGCUCUGUCCUCAAAGGCCAUGUCUGCUAGCUUGGCAUCUCCUUCUAAAUACAUCAAGGCAAAUGCAGAUGCUCUACCCUCAGAGACUAUGUCUGCUAUCUGGGCAUCUCCUUACGAAAACUCUCUGGUCUCAACAGUGACAAAUGCAGGUACACAGAAGCAUUUGAGUCAAGAACAUCGCUAUACUGCGAAUGCUUGCCAGGAUUUGAACUGA